rnacentral:tRNA from 1 species
UUUAGAUUAAUUCAGUGGUAGAAUAACUCUCUUACAAAGAGUUUGUCAGUUGUUCAAAUCAACUAUCUAUUAUCUUAAG